GAAACGAAAUGGGAAAAGAGAAGAAGGAGAGGAAAAAGACGAAAGAAGAAUAAGAAGAAAAGAAGAGAAGAAGAUUGGAGAAGAGAUUGACUUAUUUGGACGGCUGCUGCAGAAUCCAGCAAAGUGUGUGGCCGAGGUUCUUUCCGGUACCAUGGGCUCAGAGGUCAGUCUUACAUAUGGGAUCACAUAUGUGUAUUGUGCGUGGUGAUGGUUGUAAUAUUGAAGGUUUGUGGCACUAUGUGGCUGAGAUGAUGAUGCAGGUACCAUGGUGCUACUGGGUUGUGACUCUAUUUCCUCCGGACCUGAGUAUGGAGUGACAAACUGAUGGAUGGCAGAGGCUGAUGAGCAGGACCAGGACUGUGCCUGUGACACCUGUGCCUAUUUAGCCUCUUGAGAGGCUUGGUUGCCCUUUUUGAUAUUUUGAUACCAAAUUGUUUAUUUGAGCUUUCUUUCUUCUUUUUUUUUUUUAACAAAUGAUGUUAAUUAAUUAGAUUCCAUUUUUUUUGCCAUGUUAUCUUUACGGAUAAUGCAUGAUCCUACCCUUUGAUUCCAUGUGGCCAUGUGUGAACUGAGGUCAGAGUGAACCAUAUUAACACAACCUUUGUUCAAUAUAAUAAAAAUUUCAAUACAAAACAUGAGGUCAUGCCUCCUUACACUUA